rnacentral:lncRNA from 10 species
GGCUGAAUGCGGACUAGCAUGAGAGUAAGGGGGCCUCUACAUGUUCAUGGUCUUUACCUUUAGGAAAAUGUUGCCUUGUCCAGGAAGUGAGGGGUGACGCCGUACACCCGGUGUCAGACAGCUGUGUGGCAACUCUUCACCCCACACCUGCUGCAGAAACUACGCAGCGCCGGUGUGUGUUGGGUCGGUGAUAAUGCUUUGAUGCUCUCUGCGCCCUGGAGGAGCGUGAAGCCGGAGGUUGCUAAGUGGAAGUGCAGGUGCUGCUGCUUCUUGCACAAACUGCAGUUGUAAUCCAGGAUUCACGGGCCUGUAGGGGCUCAGACUUCAAAUUGAACCGCGCCUCGGCGGCAGCCACAGGUGUAAUACACGAGGCCCAGGUACCAGAAGGUGUCCAGCAGGGCCUUGGCGGCGCCCUAGCAGCUGAGGUCCAGCCGCUGCGCGCCCAGGUUCAUCUCAUUAGUGGACGCCGCGGGCCCGCGAGUUCGGAGCAGCGCGUGUAUCUGUGGGUCUUUGGGGCUGGCCUCGCUAGCCUACCAGCUUCCUUUCGGUGAUGCUCUUUGCUACCGCCAGGCUCCUGACCCCAGCUUGGACAGCAGGCCGCCGAGCGCCCCUGACGCCCGUUACCGAGAUGGCUGCGCAGAAGGAGUGGCUGUGGGGCUGUGAUCUCUCCUAGAACCUCAGAGGCAUGAAGCUAGAAUAUCUUCCCCUUCAAGGAGAAUAAGCCAAGGGUAUAUGAGACAAGGACCUGGGGAGUUGGCCUCUUUGGUUCAUUCUUUGUACUGUUUAUCUAUGGUUGUUGCGGCCUUUGUUGAUGACAUUCAGCAUUGACUUCUUGGGUAAGGUAUUCAGUAGUUAAGAUUCAAUGACUCCAGUGAAAGGUAUGUUUCCAUCGUGAUGUUCUUCUUCUGGACAAUAAGUGAAAAGAGCAUGUGAGUACCUCUCUCACUCCCAGCAAAUAAUUGUUGUGUCACCUCCACAUGUUUCUUCACGAUUCGAGGCUUUGAUUUCCCCUGCAAGACAAAAUGCAAUGAAGUGAUACAGAAAAAAAGAAAUUCUAUGCUGUCAUCACACUAGACCAUGAUGUUGAUUUAUGGAUGGUCUGCUUUCUUAUAUGCACUUAAUAUUUUUGUACAAGCAAACCUGAAAAGUGUCAAAAUCCCCUUUAACAGAUUAACAGGCUGAGAUGGGUUAAAGUGAGCAAGCCGGGAAGUGGUGGAGCUGGGAUCCACACCCUGGUCUGUCUGAGUCCAGAUGUAAUCAUCUUGCAUUCACUAUGGCAUGUUUCCCUUAUGUUAAGGGUUGCUGACAUAGACAGUGCAUGUCAUUCCUUUUGGUAUGGUCUUCCUCCUUUCUAGCUUUUUUCUGCCUGGAAGAUCCAGGCACCCAAGAGAAUGGAGCUUCCAUGUAAAUUUGCAGAAUCCCUAGGAUGAAAGCGGAGAGGAUCUACCCUGAAACCAACAAGUCUAGGAUGCACAUCUCUGCCUUUUUUUCAGAAUUAGGAAGGGGCAGGCAGAUGGGCAAUUGACAGGAAUAGUAGAAGCAUCCUCGGGGAAGUUGGCUACUUUACUUAGUGAGAAAGCAAUGGAAAGUGACAUUUGUAACUGAGUUUUAAGUGAAGUACAGUCCUAAGAGAGGAGCUCUGAAAAACAGCUGUUACCUGAGAUUGGGAAUGUUAAAGACCUUCUCAGAGCCUGACUGUACUCACAGCUGGACCUAGCUAUCAGAAGAGGGACUGCAACAUACCUGAGAAACUUUCAGAAUACUUAACGGAAGCAGAGUCAGGGGAAGUGAUUUUGAUAGUAGUCCAUGAGAAAAAAAUACGGUGUUUUAAAAUGCAAAUGAACUAAAAUUUAAAUCCUGCUCUCUCAGUAGCUAUGCAGCCUUAGGCGAGUUAAUAUCUUUGACCUUAGUAUUUCUCAGGUGUAAAGAGGGAUAAUUACCUACUCAGAACUUCACCUCUCCCAAGAAAGCUUUCCUGACCAUGUGCUGGCCCUUCCUUUACAUUGGGAUUAAAGUACCCCCCCCCGUUUUUCCAGGCUUUCUUGACUUUAAUUCUGUCAUAGCUCUAAUUAAGAACCUCUGUAAUGAUCUGUCUGCAAGCUUGUGAGAAAUUUGAGGACUGGGAACCAGCCUGAAACAUGUCUGUUCCCCUCUGAGUCAACACAGUGCCUGGGAUCUGGUGUCCAGUAGGGAUUUAAAGCAUAUUGAUUGAAUGAGAAAUGAUGACAGGAUCUACAUGGAUCACAAAGGAUAGUUGUUAUUUUACCUGUUAACUAUUUAAUAGCGAAAUUAAAUGAAAUAUGAAUUAACCUAGGACCAGGGAAGGUGGGGUAAGUUGUGUCUUUCACAUCAACCUUCAUAUGUUCCCCAAUUUUUUCUUCCUUCAUGUACCUAGGACACUCUUGUUCAAACACAAAGGUGGUUUUAUUUUGGGUCUAUACUAGCUAGUUCCCUAGAAAGGUCUUAAAUACAAAAUGAAUGGAAUACAAAAUAACCUCCCUCAUUGUUUUUUUUCCCGGACAAAUGACAGGAUGCAUACAGAACUGCUACUUUUGUGAUGUUGCAAGUAAUGGUAUAGAUGUGCACAAAUCAUGGAUGUGGUCCCAGUGAUCCAUGGAAAUGUGAAGUCCAGCUAUAAUGGCUCCUGCUAGAGUAUUAGCUCCUGAUGGUAGGGAUCUUUGUCUCUUGCUCACUGGUAUAUCUCAAGCAGCCCAGAUCUCAUCUCUGGUGAGCAUACAUUGGAGUCACUCAGAAAAUACCUGUGGAUGUAAUGAAUGUGUUUGUGUCCUGUGCUAGAUGGGAGACUUGUGAGAGAAAGGGCCAUGUGUUGUUGGUCUUUGUAAACCUACCAUCCACACUCUCUGAUACAACCAGAAGGGCAGUACUGAAUAGUCGUUGAAUUAAUUAAUCUUUUGAAAAUGACACUUAUAGGGAAAACAUUCUCUUUGCAUUCUGCAGCUUUUCCAGUGGUUGCCAUUU